UACGAAGGGGGCUAGGCGUUGCUCGGAAUCACUGGGCGUAAAGGGUGCGUAGGCGGGUCUUUAAGUCAGGGGUGAAAUCCUGGGAGCUCAACUCCAGAACUGCCCUUUGAUACUGAGGAUCUUGAGUUCGGGAGAGGUGAGUGGAACUGCGAGUGUAGAGGUGAAAAUUCGUAGAUAUUCGCAAGAACACCAGUGGCGAAGGCGGCAUC
rnacentral:rRNA from 1 species